UAGUUUGCAAGAACAGAGUAUUUCUCUGUUUAUAGUGACAUUUAAGGCUGUCAUGCCGUUUUGUUGGGGUAGUUUCUUCUCUGUUCAAACUGACUUCAUCCCUUGUCUUAUGAACGUCAGAGAUGAUGACUGAACUAAGACCCCCAGGCGGCGGAGUAUGAAAUCAACCAGUAUAUCUGAAAGUUGGUUUAACUGUUCUCAGAGAACGUCAGCAAAUACUGCAGCAAGAACUUUGGACGUAACUUGAGAUAGCAAACUUGCACAAUCUUCAGGACAGGCUGACAGCCAAUUAUUAACAUUUUUUUUUACUCCACAAAAUUUCUUUUGAAACAUCCUCCAUUCCAAUUCUGGACUUGAAAAGGAGACCAUUUUUCCAGACAGUGAUUUCUUCCAGUAUCUCAUCUCCUGGUGUCUCUGUGUGUUUUUAACAGCCAGGCAGGCUCUCCCAUGGGGUUACAGUCUUGCAAGCCUUGCAACUCCUCCCUACAAAGUAAGGAGGAAUGCAGACAGACCGGUGGCUGCCCUUGUGUGUGUGAGGAUUGUAGAUAUUGCUCUGACCGCUGCUGUGACAUCUGCUGCCAGAUGUGUGUAGACCUGUGUUCUGGCUUGUGUUCAGGAGACUGCAGCUAUACCUUCUAUACUCUCUGCCUCAGCCUGGCACAGAACUGUAUCUUACUUUUUACCACCCAGCAAAGAGAAACUUCAGAGGUUUAAUAAGCUGUGAUACCUCGGGAACAGCUUGCCUACCUGAGCAUCUGAAAGGAAAGCGUGACCAGGCGAUGCCUUGAAAUAAUUUGCAGAUACACCAGAUCAGUGGUCCUUACAAUGAGCUCAGGAUCAUCGCUAUCAUCACAGCUGAACAAAAUCCCUCUGAGCGAGUGAUAUUCUGUUAUCUGGUGAAAAUGGCUUUUUGUUCAGAGCUUUUCUCCUGAUUUCUCAUACGCUUGUGAUGGCAGACACUUUUCAAUGGACUCUUUUCCAGUUCAACGCUGAAGACUAUUUAAUGAAGAUGGAUUUCCCCCUCCCUCUCUGGUUGGAUUACAAAACAUUUUUCUCAAAAACUAACAAUAUAAACAUAAUCCUCCAACAUAAGUGCAACCCUAUAGAGAUGGAUUUUUCCCAAGAGAUUAAACUGUAUAAAUGGUCUGCAGUUUCACCUACACUCUAUUUCAAAGCACUCAAAUGUCUGCAAGAUUAUUUUUCACUUUGAUGUAAACAAAACAUAUGGUCUCUCAUCCUGUCCAAUAUUAAAUAUUUUUGUGAAGAAAAAAGUGCCUGAGGCAUCACUUGGACCAUUUUACUUUUUGUCAGAAAAUUGCCGGUUUAAAUGGUAAUUUUAACGAUUGAGCAAGCCGUGCUCUGUGCAUCAAAAGAAGUUUAUACUGAGGACACGUUCAGUGGUUUGAUAGCUUGCAUUGUGUCCUCAACUGCCCUCAUGUCUUCACAGUUUACGUUAUCUACUUUGUCUCACUGGACUUUUAAGUGAACUUACUCCAAAAGACAUUUGUGUCCCUGUCAAAUUCAGCAGACAGCUGCAUAACCGAACACAAUCCUUGAAGUGACCUUAUCCACAUGAAAAUUUGUUUUGCGUCUGCAGUAACUGAGAGCCAGAAAAAUGGCAAAUGUGGGAUAUUUACAUUUAUUUAUUCAGCUGACGCUUUUAUCCAAAGCGACUUAUAAGUGAAAAGCAAACUGGACACAGGGUUGGAUUUUUUAUGUUACCCAAGGACACUUCAUAAUGUGGACUAGAAGAGCUGGGCUGGAACCAGGAACCUUCUGAAACAACAGCUACCCCAAAUGUUACUUGAUUCCUACAGAAAAGAUGGGAUUUGUCUACUGCUUGUAUAAUUUAAACACCCGAAUGACUUGAGUGUUUUUGCACUGUGUGGAUUUGUACAAACGAAAAAAAAAAAAAGUGUAUUCAUUCACAAUUGGGACACGUCAGGCAGACAGCAUGGUAACAGUAAUAGUGUCAGGGUGAGGUCUCAAAUGACGGAGAUUCCACCUCAAAAACGUGUAGUAGGAAGAAAUUUAAGAUCUUGUGGGGAUGUUUUUUUUCUUUUUCUUGACUUUGCUGUCUUUCAUCCUCCUUUCCCUUUUUUAUUUUUGUUUGAACAGAUUCUCUCACCUCUCUCUCUGUCUAUGUUCUCAUCUCAUGAAUUGCAUUGCCUUCACUGAAUGUUUUCAGGUUAGGAGUGGAAGUAUGUAUUGUGUGCUGCUGUCAGUCAACUAGAUUACAGCUCUGGAGGAUCCAAAAAUAAGUAGACGGUUCCUAAAUUUGCUGGCCAGAUAUAUCUAAAAAUGUCUGUUUUUUCCCACACAAGGGUUUGUGGUUUAAGAAUAAAAUCAACAUAAGAGACAGAAUGAAAAGACAAAAUCUGAUUUUGAUUCAGGAAAGCUGCUAUCAAAGCACAUCUUGUGCAUGCAGAUUUCUUCUGAUCUAAUGAACAGAAGAAAAUAAAAGAGACAAAUGCUAUUCAAACCUUCAAAGCUGUUUCUGUUUAAUUUUUUUUGGUUACAACAGCUCGUUGGCUUCUCAUUUGUCAGAAGUCCUACAAGGGUGUCGGAUUAGAUCGACAAGGCAAUGUGAGAUGUACAUUUGACUUUCCUCUUGUCAUUCAAAAAAUGUUUAGAUGUUUUCACAUAUUGACUUGCAGCUUUGAGCAUUAAUAAGUCCUUUGAGCACAUUGUUAGAGCUACCUGUGAACCAAAUGGCUAAGUUAAAAAGUUACAUCAGUUAUGAGAGAGUGGAGGUGGGUCGGCGCAUGGUCUCCAUCUUUUUUGCUCUCCCGCUGUGUGUCAGCUAUUUAGAUUCCAGCGAUGUACAGGUAAGACUGACUGAAGAUGGAAAGAUGGGGAGUAGCGGAGUGGCUGAAUGGGGGCGGGGGGAGUUUUUUUUUUUUUUUUUUUUUUUUUUGCUUGAAAUUGGAUUUUAUUUUUGACCACUCUGAGACCUCCAUCUUAUCCUGUAACCCAGUCCUCCCACUCAAUUUCCAUCCCACCGUGUGAAAAUUGGAGUAAUAUAAAGAUGUGAGCUGCUGAUGGAGAAGACUGUCAGAGAUAGUAACAAAAAAAAGAGGGCAAGGGAAUGGUAAAGAUGCAGACAGUGAGAUAUAUUGGGGAGGGUGUGAGAUGGAGAGCUAACAUGGUGGCAGCACACUGAUUUCAGCAUUUCCAGUGUAGCAGAUGACUUGACCAGAUCUGAUAGCUUUUACUCAGGUGGAGAGACCAACUAUGUAACUAUCACACUCCAGUGAAUUAUUUACUUUUAGUGGUUUCCCUAUAGCAAAAUUUACAAUACUGAAAACUCAUGAAUAAAACUAGCAGUUUAUAAAAAAUGCCUACAGGGUAUUUGGGCGUGAACAAUUUAAAUCUAAUCACUCAAAAAGUAAUAAGUCUGAGAAGUGAUUAUCUAAUAUUUCCUUAGCCACCAAGAAUUCAAAAGAUAGUUGAAAUGAAACACAGACACCCCUCCAACCUGAUUCCCCCUCCUCGUCUUCCUCCUCCUCUCAGGUGGACAAACCAAAAUUAUGAGAACAUUACUCAUUUUGAUGCAUUGCGCAGUAUGAUUUGAUAACAUUUCAGUCAAACAAAAUCUCUGUAUUUCAAAUGUAUCUCAUGCUAUCUUCCAAUAAUAGACAGUAUUUAACCGAUUUACCAGCAUGCAUUAAAAAAGGAGGAAAUCAUUAUCUUAAAGUAAAGAGUCCAAUCAAUGAAUAGAACCAAUGUCUAAUAAUGUGGUGGGAUGUUCUGUGCACAGUUGGUCUGCAUUCAUAAAAUAUAGCUUGACAGCCCAUUAGGCACAGUUAAAACGAAAUCAGAUUCUGGCCAUCCUCCAAAGCCAUUAGCCCAUGGGGUCAAGCUGAAGACAACCUGGUAAUUGACCAAUUGAUUCAGGAAAAUGGUUGGUCCCUGAGAAAGACAACAAUUUUGUUAAUUGCAUUUUUAACAGUGAGUGAAGGGAUUACAGGUAUAUAACAGAAAUGACAGGCCUGAAGUGGGCCUAGCAAUCAGGCAGUCCGAUUACUGCCACUUCUGUGAGUGAGUCCUCAGAGCUCUGGUCCUAACACCCAAAUAAUACAAACCAAAGCUCAGUCUGAGAUGUAAUGAAAGAAAUCAAGAGCCCUGAAAGUUGUUGUGAAUAAAAAUAUGGAGAGCCAUUACUUUUUUAUGAUGUGGAAAAUGGAGAACUGGUCAUUGUAAGUUCUGCAUGAAUAAAAGGUCCGAGUUGUUUGGCCAGACAUAAACGAAAUCCUCUGAAUUCUAACAAAACCUCUGGAGCCAACAGUCCGUCACAUUAAUGGAGGAUAACAGUUGUAAGGUCAAUUCUUCUUAGUAGGUUGUUGUAUGUCUGUGAGUGUGAGUUUAUUUGUUCUUUGAAUGUGAGGAAUCCUUUGAGCCUCACAGAUGCAUCUGGAAUGAGUGUUUAAUGAUUAACUUCAUAAACAUGCCUGACCACGACGCGGUUGAGCUUCUCACAAAUUAUUUAUGAAUCGAGUAUUGGCAAUCAAGUGUCCAUGAAUAUACAGGUGGACAGUUUAGCAAUAUUCCUGUGUCUUCAAAUGAGCCUUCUCAAUAGUAAAUUUAAGAAAUCAUUUGCAGAAGUUCCCCAUGCAAGGAGUGGAUUGCUAAUGGCAUCAUGAAGACAUGUGGACUAAUUUUAUUGGACUAAUUUUA